AACGUAGGGGACAAGCGUUAUCCGGAUUUACUGGGCGUAAAGCGCCCGUAGGCGGCCUGACAAGUUGGACGUGAAAGCUCCUGGCUUAACUGGGAGAGGCCGUUCAAAAACUGUCAAGCUAGAGUCUGGAAGAGGAGAGCGGAAUUCCCGGUGUAGUGGUGGAAUGCGUAGAGAUCGGGAGGAACACCAGUGGCGAAAGCGGCUCUCUGGUCCAAAACUGACGCUGAGGUGCGAAAGCGUGGGGAGCAAACAGG
rnacentral:rRNA from 1 species